rnacentral:rRNA from 1 species
GACGAACCGUGCGAACGUUAUUCGGAAUCACUGGGCUUAAAGCGCGUGUAGGCGGGAGGCCAAGUCUGCGGUGAAAUCGCUCGGCUCAACUGGGCGGGGUCCGUGGAAACUGGUCACCUGGAGGACGGUAGAGGCGAGUGGAAUUCCCGGUGUAGUGGUGAAAUGCGUAGAGAUCGGGAGGAACACCAGUGGCGAAGGCGGCUCGCUGGGCCGGACCUGACGCUGAGACGCGAAGGCGUGGGGAGCGAACGGG